rnacentral:rRNA from 1 species
UACAGAGGGUGCAAGCGUUAAUCGGAAUUACUGGGCGUAAAGCGUGCGCAGACGGUUGCGUAAGUCAGAUGUGAAAGCCCCGGGCUCAACCUGGGAAUUGCGUUUGAGACUGCGUAGCUAGGGUGCGGAAGAGGGAAGCGGAAUUUCCGGUGUAGCGGUGAAAUGCGUAGAUAUCGGAAGGAACACCAGUGGCGAAAGCGGCUUCCUGGUCCAGCACCGACGUUCAGGCACGAAAGCGUGGGGAGCAAACAGG